rnacentral:rRNA from 1 species
AGAACGAACGCUGGCGGCAGGCUUAACACAUGCAAGUCGAACGCUCGUGAGCGAUCACGGGAGUGGCAGACGGGUGAGUAACGCGUGGGAACAUACCCUUUGGUUCGGGAUAACUCAGGGAAACUUGAGCUAAUACCGGAUACGCCCCUGGAUGAGAGUCUUGGGGGAAAGAUUGAUUGCCGGAGGAUUGGCCCGCGUUCGAUUAGCUAGUUGGUGAGGUAACGGCUCACCAAGGCGACGAUCGAUAGCUGGUCUGAGAGGAUGAUCAGCCACAUUGGGACUGAGACACGGCCCAAACUCCUACGGGAGGCAGCAGUGGGGAAUAUUGGACAAUGGGCGCAAGCCUGAUCCAGCCAUGCCGCGUGAGUGAUGACGGCCUUAGGGUUGUAAAGCUCUUUCGCUCGGGACGAUAAUGACGGUACCGAGAUAAGAAGCCCCGGCUAACUUCGUGCCAGCAGCCGCGGUAAUACGAAGGGGGCUAGCGUUGUUCGGAAUUACUGGGCGUAAAGCGCGUGUAGGCGGGUCUUUAAGUCAGGGGUGAAAUGCCAAGGCUCAACCUUGGAACUGCCUUUGAUACUGGGGAUCUUGAGUCCGGGAGAGAUGAGUGGAACUGCGAGUGUAGAGGUGAAAUUCGUAGAUAUUCGCAAGAACACCAGUGGCGAAGGCGGCUCACUGGCCCGGAACUGACGCUGAGACGCGAAAGCGUGGGGAGCAAACAGGAUUAGAUACCCUGGUAGUCCACGCUGUAAACGAUGGAUGCUAGCCGUUGGGGAGCUUGCUCUUCAGUGGCGCAGCUAACGCUUUAAGCAUCCCGCCUGGGGAGUACGGUCGCAAGAUUAAA